rnacentral:rRNA from 1 species
CCUACGGGAGGCAGCAGUGGGGAAUUUUGGACAAUGGGCGAAAGCCUGAUCCAGCCAUUCCGCGUGCAGGAUGAAGGCCCUCGGGUUGUAAACUGCUUUUGUACAGAACGAAAAGGUUUCUAUUAAUACUAGGAGCUCAUGACGGUACUGUAAGAAUAAGCACCGGCUAACUACGUGCCAGCAGCCGCGGUAAUACGUAGGGUGCAAGCGUUAAUCGGAAUUAUUGGGCGUAAAGCGUCCGCAGGCGGUCUUUUAAGUCUGUCGUCAAAGCGUGGAGCUUAACUCCAUUACUGCGAUGGAAACUGGGAGACUAGAGUGUGGUAGGGGCAGAGGGAAUUCCCGGUGUAGCGGUGAAAUGCGUAGAUAUCGGGAAGAACACCAGUGGCGAAGGCGCUCUGCUGGGCCAUAACUGACGCUCAUGGACGAAAGCCAGGGGAGCAAAAGGGAUUAGAUACCCCUGUAGUCCUGGCCGUAAACGAUGAACACUAGGUGUCGAGGGAAUCGACCCCCUCGGUGUCGUAGCCAACGCGUUAAGUGUUCCGCCUGGGGAGUACGCACGCAAGUGUGAAACUCAAAGGAAUUGACGG